rnacentral:rRNA from 1 species
GACGAACGCUAGCGGCAGGCCUAACACAUGCAAGUCGAACGGUAACAGUUCCUUCGGGAAGCUGACGAGUGGCGCACGGGUGCGUAACGCGUAUACAACCUACCCUUUAGCGGGGGAUAGCCCGGAGAAAUCCGGAUUAAUACCGCAUAGUUUUGCUGAUACACAUGUAUCUGGUAAAUAAAGAUUUAUCACUAAAGGAUGGGUAUGCGUCCCAUUAGGUAGUUGGUGAGGUAACGGCUCACCAAGCCAACGAUGGGUAGCUGGUCUGAGAGGAUGAUCAGCCACACGGGCACUGAGACACGGGCCCG